rnacentral:rRNA from 1 species
AGUGAACGCUGGCGGUAGGCCUAACACAUGCAAGUCGAACGGCAGCACAGUAAGAGCUUGCUCUUACGGGUGGCGAGUGGCGGACGAGUGAGGAAUACAUCGGAAUCUACUUUUUCGUGGGGGAUAACGUAGGGAAACUUACGCUAAUACCGCAUACGACCUACGGGUGAAAGCAGGGGAUCUUCGGACCUUGCGCGAUUGAAUGAGCCGAUGUCGGAUUAGCUAGUUGGCGGGGUAAAGGCCCACCAAGGCGACGAUCCGUAGCUGGUCUGAGAGGAUGAUCAGCCACACUGGAACUGAGACGCGGUCCAGACUCCUACGGGAGGCAGCAGUGGGGAAUAUUGGGCAAUGGGCGCAAGCCUGAUCCAGCCAUACCGCGUGGGUGAAGAAGGCCUUCGGGUUGUAAAGCCCUUUUGUUGGGAAAGAAAAGCAGCAGGUUAAUACCCCGCUGUUCUGACGGUACCCAAAGAAUAAGCACCGGCUAACUUCGUG